UCACGAAUGCUCAUAUACUUUUAAUUUUGAGUUCCUCUCACAGCGAGAAGAAAUCCCUCGUAAAAAAUAGUUCAAAGGUACGCAGAAUAUUUUUGGAGGUAUCAGUAUGUUGUAUGCAGCUGUACGACUUGGACAACUUUUAUAUCCUAUAGAACCAGAGCUAGUUUAUGAUACUACUAACAGUAUGGUACGAUCAAACCCAAUGUCUGAUGCGAACAGCUGGAGUAGCUGCGCGUGGACUUCCGCAAACAAGAUUAAAAAAAACAUGGGUAUAUCCACUAAUCACCACUGGAAUGAAGAUACGCGGAGUGUAACAGUUCCACGCCAUCGGCGACAACUUUACUGAUGAGCAAUGGUGCCAACAAGACACAAUUGCUGCAAUUACAAUCGACUCACAUGGACACCUGAACAAAAUGCAACAGGAACCCAACCCACUUUAGACAAUGGCAAGCCGCUGCCACUACUACGAACUUGACGACCGUAAAUGAUCUCAUGCAACCUUGUUCCACUUUUGCAACAUGAUAUCAGGACAUAUAUGCAGCAUAUUUCUCAAAAAUAUUUCAUCUGGCAAGAGAAAUAGUUUGCCCAGCAACAACGCUGGCAGCUUUGCUGGAGAAGCUUUCCCUCAUGAAACCAGCACACGUGAGAUCACACCCUGGACCCAGGAUGCAGUCUCCCUCAGCUGUUCGUCAUCAGACUGGGAACAGCGCCCAAGGAGCUCCGAGUGGAAGUUGGAAUUCUUGAGCAGCAGUUUGAUGGAAGGUCCUAGCGCAUCCGCCAGGUCCCCGACCAAGGCAACUCCAGCUUUCGUCAGACCCUCGUCCCUACAAGGAAUUCGAAGGAUAAUAUCACCACAUUGAUCCAGUCCUUUGGCAGAGUAUCAGACUUUUAUGCAGGCACCCGUUUAUACUAGAAUGCAUACAUUUACAAUGUCAGAAAUGAAAAGUUAUCUGCUUAUAGUUAUUUUGAAGUUCAUGUUUCGUAUCAUUUACUCCCUCUGUUCACAAAUAUAAGAUGUUUUGAAUAUUUCAAUAUGGCCUACAUACAAACUGAAAUGAGUGAACAAACACACUAAAGCAUGUCUAUACAUCCGACUCAGAAAAAUGUUAGAACAUCUUAUAUUUGUGAACGGAGGGAGUCCUUCGGUGUUCUAGUUGAGAAUAUGACAAAUGAAAAUGAUUGAUACAUUGACUAUGCAUUCCGUGUCAAAGGACAGAUCGUAAACUCACCUUGAUGUCUCUCGCAGGACCAGUUCCGCGAACUGGAAAAUAUGGCUGGCAUAAGGAACCAUUAGCUCUGAUUUUGAAUUUUUGACUCCCUGAAGUAUACCUGAAUAGGCCUCGAAGAUGCUUCGCCUGAGUUCAUUUUUAUACUCUGUACUGUCAUCAUCAGGAAGGUCCAUGCGAGAACAAAGCUCUGCAGCUCCUUGCAACAUAGGCACAGUGUAUGGAACAUAUUUCUCAAAAUUCUCACCAAUUGUAAGUGCAAUAUCUCCUAUGCAUGACAAAAUUGGCGGUUUCACAGAACGGUGAAGCUCUGGGCUUGAAAGGUCCUUGAGAAGGGCGGACAUGAUAGCAUCACAGUAAGGGAGUACCUUGUCAUCCAGGGCACGACAGAUGUCCGCAACCACCCCAACAGAAACACAG
rnacentral:lncRNA from 1 species